rnacentral:piRNA from 1 species
UAUCAGGUGGAGGCAGAAGUGUCAGGC